AAGUCGUAACAAGGUUUCCGUAGGUGAACCUGCGGAAGGAUCAUUAUCGAGUUUUUGAAAGCGCGAGGCUUGCUGCUGGUGCGGAAACGCGCAUGUGCACGGCUUUCGCGCUCAAAUCCACUCAACCCCUGUGCACCUUUUAUCCUGUCGAAGCGAGUAGUUUGAGACCUCGGGGGACUUAGUAAGUCAGUAGAAGGGGAGGGUAACAGCUCCAUUCGAAAAGUGAAAAGGCCCCUUAGCUCGAGCGAAAGCUUUUGACUUGUAUUUCACAAACCACGUUUAUGUCCUGUGAAUGUAAUGCUCCUUGUGGGCGAAAAUAAAUACAACUUUCAACAACGGAUCUCUUGGCUCUCGCAUCGAUGAAGAACGCAGCGAAACGCGAUAAGUAAUGUGAAUUGCAGAAUUCAGUGAAUCAUCGAAUCUUUGAACGCACCUUGCGCCCCUUGGUAUUCCGAGGGGCAUGCCUGUUUGAGUGUCAUGUUAAUCUCAAAUCACUAGUCUUUUUUAAUCGAAAGGCUUUUUGUGGUUUGGACUUGGAGGUUUCUGCUGGCUGCGGUCGGCUCCUCUUAAAAGCAUUAGCUGGGCUUCGGCUCGCGUUUGUGGUGUGAUAGUUAAUUCUUUCGCCUGAGCGCUUGCCUGAUGGGUCCGCUUCUAACCGUCUGCUUGGUCGGACAAGGCCGUUUGGCCUUCUUGACUCUUUGACCUCAAAUCAGGUAGGAUACCCG
rnacentral:rRNA from 1 species